AACUGUGUGGCCCAAAUGAUCCAUUGGAACUUAUGCCUCAAGUACCAGCUGCCAGCAGCAAAGAACUGGUGGGAUCACAAACCAGCAAAGGUCGUGGAAAAUGAACACGCAAAGAUACUGUGGGACUUCCGAAUCCAGACUGACAAAGUUCUGGAACACAACACACCAGACAUCACAGUUGUGGAAAAGAACAAGGUUUGGAUAAUUGAUGUUGCCAUCCCAGGUGACAGUCGCAUUGAUGAAAAACAACAGGAAAAACUCAGCCGCUAUCAGGACCUCAAGAUGGAACUUCAAAGACUGGCAGAAACCAGGGCAGGUGGUCCCGGUGGUGAUGGGCACACUGGGUGCCGUGCCAAAACAUCUCAGCCGGCAUUUGGAAACAAUAGACAUCGACAAAAUUACGAUCUGCCAACUGCAAAAGGCCACCCUGCUGGGAUCUGCACGCAUCAUCCGAAAAUACAUCACACAGUCCUAGACACUUGGGAAGUGUUUGACUUGUGGUUUUGUGAAACGAAAUCCAGCAUAUUUAUCUUGUUUGCUGUGUCAUACAACGUCGUUGUGUCAAUAAUAAUAAUAAUUUUAUUUUUAUACCCCGCCCCAUCUCUCCAAAGGGACUCAGGGCGGCUGACAUGGGGCCAAGCCCGGACAUCAACAAUAUAAAAACAGAGCAAUAAAACAAAUCAAUCAACAAUAAAAACAAGUCAUAAAAAAAUCACAUACAAAAAAUAUAAUGAUAAAAUUUUGGGUUGGAUCCAAAGAAACUGGGCCGAAAGUUCAAGUUGUGUCGGUAUCAUCAGGGAGAGGUGGUUACCCAAGUUGUCAUAGCCAUUAAAGUGCUGGGGAAGGCAUACCCAAGGGACUAUUGCUGGAUAGGCAACAGGUUGAUCCUACUAUGGAGAUCAGUCGCCAAAGGCCUGUUGGAAGAGCCAAGUUUUCAGGCUCUUCCGAAAGGUGAGGAGAGUAGGGGCCUGCCUGAUCUCCCUGGGGAGCGAGUUCCAGAGCCGGGGGGCCACGACGGAGAAGGCCCUCUCCCUCGUCCCCACCAACUGCAACUGCGAGGGUGGUGGGAGCAAGAGGAGGGCCUCCCCCAACGAGCGAAGAGAUCGUGCAGGUUCAUAGGGGGAAAUGCAAUUACGAAGGUAGGUGGGUCCCAAACCGUUUAGGGCUUUGUAGGUGAUGACCUGCACCUUUAAUUGGGCUCAGAAAAUAAACGGCAGCCAAUGGAGCUCCUUAAAUAGGGGAAUUGAACGCGCCCUGUAAUUUGCUCCAGUUAGAAACCUGGCUGCUGAGCGUUGUACUAGUUGCAGUUUCCGGGCCGUCUUCAAAGGCAGCCCCACAUAGAGCGCAUUGCAAUAAUCCAGUCUAGAGGUAACUAAGGCAUGGACCACCAUGGUCAGAUCUGACUUCUCGAGGUACGGUCGCAGCUGGCACACAAGUUUUAAUUGUGCAAAGGCCCUCCCAGCCACAGCCGACACCUGGGCAUCAAGUGUCAGCGCCAAGUCCAGGAGGACCCCCAAGCGGACCUGCGCCUUCAGGGGGAGUGCGACCCCGUCAAGCACAGGUUGCCACCCUAUGCCCCGAUCAGACGUACAACUGACCUGGAGGACCUCUGUCUUGUCAGGAUUAAGUCUCAGCUUGUUCGCCCUCAUCCAGACCAACACAGCAGCCAGACACUGGUUCAGUAUCCGAGGGGCUUCCUUGGAUUUAGGUGGAAAAGAGUAGUAGAGUUGGGUGUCAUCUAUGUAGAGAUGGCACCGAACUCCAAAACUCCGGAUGACCUCACCCAACGGUUUCAUGUAGAUAUUAAAAAGCAUGGGGGACAAAAUACAGUAGAGUCUCACUUAUCCAACAUAAACGGGCCGGCAGAACGUUGGAUAAGCGAAUAUGUUGGAUAAUAAGGAGAAAUUAAGGAAACGCAUAUUAAACAUCAAAUUAAGUUAUGAUUUUACAAAUUAAGCACCAAAACAUCAUGUUAGACAACAAAUUUGACAGAAAAGGUAGUUCAAUACACUGUAAUGCUAUGUAGUAAUUACUAUAUUUACGAAUUUAGCACAAAAAUAUCACGAUGUAUUGAAAACAUUGACUACAAAAAUGCGUUGGAUAAUCCAGAAUGUUGGAUAAGCGAGUGUUGGAUAAGUGAGACUCUACUGUAGAACCUUGCGGGACCCCACAGGUCAAUGGCUAGGGGUCCGAGCAGGAGUCCCCCAGCUUCAUCAACUGAGAGCGACCCUCCAGGAAGGACUGGAGCCACUGCAAAGCAGUACCCCAAAGGUCCACCCCAGAGAGCCGUCCCAGAAAGAUACCAUGGUUGAUGGUAUCGAAAGCCGCUGAGAUGCCCAAGAGAGCCAGCAGGGUCACACUCCCCCUGUCCAAUUCUCUGCGGAGGUCAUCCACCAAGGUGACCAAAGCCUUGAUGUUUAUGUUGAAUGUUUUUAUAUUGUGGAAUGAUAUUUUAAAUUGUAAGUCGCUCAGAGCACUCUGGUGGAGAGCGACUAAUUAAGAAAUAAAGUGAAGUGAAGUGAAGUGAAGUGAAGUGAAGUGAAGUGAAGUGAAAGCCGUUUCGGUACUGUACCCAGGUCUGAAGCCAGACUGCGAUUGGUCCAGAAAAUUUGUAUCUUCCAAGAAUCCCUUAUUGUGUGUGGUAAGUACAUAACAACAACUUCAGGAAAUAAACAACAAAGAAAAGAAGGUGUUCAAACUGCUCAGGCAAUGAAAUUAGUGGCUCACUGUUACCCUGCAUGACUUUGCAGCCCUAGAAAUUGGCUUCCUUGUAAGUUACAAAUUGGUCCUUAUGUCCAACAUAGACACUUCUUGCUAAUACAGCAAGUACUACCUAGGAAGUGAUGCAGUUCAAUCUUAUCCUUAACAAAGAGCAGCAUUUCUUUUGAACAUGUAGGAAGGCAAGGCUUUGUGUCGAAGCAGGCACAGAACUCCAGAGUUGACAAGUAUUCAAAGGGUCAUCUAAUCCAAUCUUUGGCAUUCAGGAAUACAAAAGCUCAAGAACUCAUGGGAAAUAACCAUCCAACCUCUGUUUAACAAAGAAGAAUCCUCCAAGACAAGCUAUUCCACUGAGAACAGCUCUUAAGAGUAAAAUAGUCCUUUAUUAUAUUUUGGUGGGAUUCCUUCUGAAUUGAAUCACUGGUUCGCAGCUUUGUAGUCUCUGGAGCAGCAGAAAACAGUCAUGCUCUACCUUCUACAUGACAUACCUUCAGGUAUUUUAAAAGAGUCUUCAUGCUACCUCUCAAUCUUUUCUUCUCUAAGCUAAAUAUUAGGCUUGUGUAAUCCAGGUAAAUUGUGAUCCAUUUCGCUGUCCCAGAUUUUGGUCGGGGUCCCGAUCCAUUUUUUGGAAGCCUCCUGGAUUUGGGAGGACAGAAAUCUGUUUUCAAUCAUAUAUUAUUAUUUUUCUAUCCAGCCCAUUAUGCAGGGGGUAUUUACCAGGCCCCCUUCCUGUCAUUUUGGGUAUUAUUUGUCCUUAUAUCCUUAAUGUCGGGUUUAAUGUUAGAGGAGACAGGCAAAUGUGGCGCUCUCUCCCUCCCUGCACAGCACACUUCCAAGGCUUUAAGGAGGCUUAAAUCCCCACUUUGCAGGGCUGGGAAGGAAGAGUGAUCUAUCCUAUGCUGGGUGCAGAGGACAUGAGCAGGGGGGAUUCACAAGACCGCUAUUUUAUUUAUAGGGAGUUAUAUGUUAACAUUAAUUUAUAUUUCUUAUUUGCUGCAUCCAAUUAACUAUUCAGGUUUCUUUUGCUGCCACCAUUUAAUUACACCUCAGCCAUCUCUUUGUUAGGAUUUUAAACUGACAGGCCACCUUUUUGAUAGGAAGACACACAAACUCUUUAGGUGAAGUAAAACAAGAAUAUGAUGUUUAUUUGUAUUUGAACAGUAAAGAUGCAUAAUAGUUUCAGUAACAAUAACAGGAUGGCUGCUUAAAUAGAGAUAGGUAUCUUAACUUGACUUCUUUAAAGGAAUAGACAGUUUUCACAGAGGCACUGUUCUCAGCUCUCUAUUCCCCUAGAGGCUAUUCUACUAUUUAGCACUUCCUCUACAAAGGCUAAACUACUUUACUAACUCUCUUCCUCAAAGAGGCUUCACAAGAACACAGUUCCCAACUUUAGCUGACACUAACUAUUCAUUGACUCCAAAAACCUAACUGAUGCUGUCUCCCAAUUCUGACUAACUAUGUAACUCCUGACUGACUGACUGACGGCCAACCAACUCCACAAAACCUCUGUCUGCAUAGCUCUAACACUCUCCUAGCUCCUCCCCUCUCCAGUUGCUAGGCAACACCCUCCAUUUUCCAACAUCCAAUCAGGCUCGCUCUUCCUGAGAUGAAGCUCCCUGUGGCUCUUUCCCCUUGCUUUACCAAGCUCACCAGCAAGGCCUGAAAAUGGCCAUACAUUAGACCUGCCAGGCAGGCCACUCACCGACUCUGUAAGGACGCAAGGAGAUCUGAUCAAAACAAGAAAAAUAAUACACCUCAAUUUCUACCAUGAAAAAUUUGUAGGAAAGAACUAUGAUGAAAGAAGAACCGAAGAGGAGGACGAAGAAAACGAGGGCGCCAUGUCAUGGAGCCAGAUCCCAGGGCUGAAUUUCCAAGCCCUGAAUCUGACUUCAUAACAUAAACAAUCCUGCAAGCACCUGGCGGGAGAAGAUAAAAUGAGCCUGGGAACUCAGGGUUGAAAGUAUAAACAAUUAUAAUUGAUGUAGUGUGUGGGAAUGGUAGUAAUGUGAUCCAGGGGGUGGGAUUUGAUGAUGAUAUUUGCGUGUGGUAUUACGUUGCAUCAGAAGUGAUAAAAUUAGAUGUAUGUAAACAUUAGGUCAUUCUCGACUUUUCCAAAGUCAUGUAUUCUUCAAUAAAGAUUGGAUUUGAGAGCAGCUA